CACCCAUCUCUACCCCAUGUAAACCAGUAUCUACCUGAGCCUGAAGUCUAAUCUGCUACAGGAAGGAGAGAAAACGGAAGGGAAGAAAGGAUUGCCACCAAGUCCCAGGUCCUAGAUGGAAAACUCAUCCUCCUCUCUAGAUUGGACUCUCUCUCUUUGCCAGUGUUAAACUUCCAACUGGUGUUUUUUUUUCUGAAAUGAAAAUUUGACAUUCUGUAAGAAGCCUUCCUGUACUGCCUGCCAGAGCCAGAGUUUAUGGCACUCCUCUUAGAAGAGCUGCUGUUCAUUUCUUGUAUUUACCCCAAACCACCUGCAUGGCUACUUUCUUCCAACAGCUAUGUCCAAAUGUCCUUAAUAAGGCAGAGACUGGGCUCUGGUGAAGAAAACAAAUUGCAGUCCCUGGAAGAUUUCUACUUUCUACAAGAUGCUGCUUUACCACCAGUCCCAAAUAGCAGUGCU